CCCCUCUCAGGAUCACACCUGGAGAGUUUCCAGUACCCUACCAGUCUCGGCCAAGGGAGGGAGAAUCCAGCAGAGGGAUACUCAUUCCAUUCCUAGCUGGGGCAGUGGCUAGCGAGAGGAAGACAAUCUGCUCCAAGU